rnacentral:misc_RNA from 1 species
UCUUCCUCCUCUUCCUCUUCCUCCAAAUCACCCCAAUGCUUGGUUUUAUCGACUGGCUCUUCCUCAUAAUUGGGCUGUUCUUGUUGCUGAACUCCGAAAACAUCUCCAUACAACGGACGACCAUAUUCAUCAACGGGAGGCUUUCCCCAGCCACCAGGAUGGUAACCAAAGCUAGCUCCAGGUGGUAUGGGAGCAUUGAGUCCAGGGAUUUUCAGGUGUGGGUAAGAUGGUGGAGGGCCAUACCUCUGCAUAUUGAUAAGCCAAGGAGGAGGAGCACCCUCUGGCAUACCAAGAGCUUCUUUUAAUUCUUGUGAAAGACUGCCUGGCUUCAUCUCUCUUAGCUUCACCUCAAAUUCUUUCCCUUCAUGAUAGAGGUCACCAUGAGUAGUAAGCUUUGGCUUUGUUUGGUACUUAAAAAAUGCAUCAUGAAGCACCUGAUAAUCGAUAUCCAUUUUUCCCAUCUUUGGCUGCAUACGUUCACGUUGCUUCUGCUUCAACUUCUUACUAUCCUCUUUUUCAAUGUAAGCCUGCAAAAGAAAAAUGGAGCAAAUUGUUAAGUCCAUUCAACAAAAAGUGCACGAACCAAAUUGAGAAACAAUAAAUGUUGUUUAAGUUUGAUGUCUGGUGGAUCCACCCAGAAGAACAUAUAACAAUAAUUCUUGCAGGCAUACUGGCUACCAGAAGUCAUUUCUCAAUGGACAAUGGUUCCAAAAUCCCACAAUAAAGAGGUACGGAAAGACAUCCAAUUAGCAUACUUGCUACAUCAUAACCACCUGUCUGAUUUUCUCAAUUCCUGUUGCAGCAAUAAAAUCAGGAAGCUGAAAAGGCUGCUUCUCAAUACCACGCUUUCCCUGCAAAACAAAUCCAAGACCUGAUGAGAUACAAAUAACUACACAAAUAUGAAUGUGUACAUAUAUACUAGAAGUAAUAAAUUUAGCAAUCAGCCCAGAUCACUUCACUUUAUGAAAAAUAAAAUAAAAUAGUAUAUUUAGACGAUUCUAUCCCGGGCAUUUAGCACAAUGGAAAGGCAUCUGAAAAUUCAAAGCAGAUGAAUUAGCACCUCAACAAUGAAAAAUCCCCGUAUGUAACAUGCAAAGAGAAACCAUGAUUGAAAGGAAGGGGACAAAAAUAAAAAUAAAUUUCCAAAAAAAUAUCAUAUGAAUAUCUAACGUCCCCAGCCACACUAGCAAAUUAUAUUAAAAGAGAAAUCACUCAAGGGUCCCCUUUGCCAAACACAUACAAGUCCAUGGCUCCAUCAAUGUCACAGCAGCUCCCCUGCAAAAAUUUCCUUUUCUGGCACCAAUGCCUUGGCACAGGAACAGAAUUUCUGUAUGAUUUCAAAAACACUAGCAACUUCGGGUCUGCUGCAGUAGCAUCCCACACCUCGACAACAUCAGGCCUUGAGCAUAUCUGUUUUAGUUCUGCAAUCUUCAUCCGUCGCAGAAGCUUUUUCUUCUUGUUGGAUAGGCCUUUUUCCUUCUGUGUGGUAUCUUCUUCUUCCUCUUCUGAGUCUGAGACAACCUUUUUCUUUGAAUCAGCAUUUUGGGCAGAUUCAUCUUUUUUAUCAUUCUCCUCAGAACCAGCAAUUUCAUGGAAAUUAAAUCUCUCAAAGAUCUUCCUGAAUUCGUCAUCAAAACCAUCUCCCAACUCUGCCUUUUCUGGGACAUACUCAACUUCCACUUGCUCCAAGACCUGUUGAUGAUCAGCGUUAUCCUUAGCAUCGUCGCCGUUAGCAUCAGCAGCGGCGUCAUCUUCACUUUCAUUGCCGCUAGCGGUGGCAUCGAGAGCCUGAGAAGCAGCCUUGUUGUUCUUCUUCUGCUUGCGCCUGCGACGGCGCCUUUCGCUCUCUCGGGACUUCUUGGCGGCGGCGUUUUUAGAGGUAGGGUUAGAUGUGGCCAGAUCUCCAUUGGAGACGACGCCGUUUUGGUACAGCAGAGUUUCGGCGGUCAUGGUUAUUCCGGUACUUCCCGGGACAGUUAGUAUCAAUGGAAAAGGAAAUCAAUUAACGGGGUUUUGGCUGGAGAGAUUCGAG